rnacentral:rRNA from 1 species
AGUGAACGCUGGCGGCGUGCUUAACACAUGCAAGUCGAACGAGAACGGAAUAUAGCUUGCUAUAUUUGUCAGCUAAGUGGCGCACGGGUGAGUAAUGUAUAGAUAACCUGCCCUUAAGAAAGGAAUAACAGUUGGAAACGACUGCUAAUGCCCUAUAUGCCUUUAAUACAUAAGUAUGCAAGGGAAACGAUUUAGUGCUUAAGGAUGGGUCUGUAUGGUAUCAGCUUGUUGGUGAGGUAAUGGCUCACCAAGGCUAUGACGCAUAACUGGUUUGAGAGGAUGAUCAGUCACACUGGAACUGAGACACGGUCCAGACUCCUACGGGAGGCAGCAGUGGGGAAUAUUGCACAAUGGACGAAAGUCUGAUGCAGCAACGCCGCGUGGAGGAUGACACAUUUCGGUGCGUAAACUCCUUUUAUAUUGGAAGAUAAUGACGGUACUAUAUGAAUAAGCACCGGCUAACUCCGUGCCAGCCGCCGCAGUAA